rnacentral:rRNA from 1 species
CCUACGGGUGGCUGCAGUGGGGAAUCUUGCGCAAUGGGCGAAAGCCUGACGCAGCGACGCCGCGUGGGUGAUGAAGGCCUUCGGGUUGUAAAGCCCUGUGGGAGAAGACGAAUAAGUCGUCGUGAACAACGACGAUGAUGACUCCAAUCUCUUAGCAAGCACCGGCUAACUCUGUGCCAGCAGCCGCGGUAAGACAGAGGGUGCAAACGUUGUUCGGAAUUACUGGGCGUAAAGCGCGUGUAGGCGGCUCGAUAGGUCAGGUGUGAAAUCCCUCG